rnacentral:rRNA from 1 species
AAUCAACGCUGGCGGCGUGCCUCAGACAUGCAAGUCGAACGCGAAAGUUUCCUUCGGGGAACAAGUAGAGUGGCGCACGGGUGAGUAACACGUAGGUAAUCUACCUUUGGAUGGGGAAUAACAACCGGAAACGGUUGCUAAUACCGCAUAAUGCAGCGGCACCUAAUGGUGACAGUUGUUAAAGCGGGGGAUCGAAAGACCUCGCGUCUGAAGAGGAGCCUGCGGCGGAUUAGCAGUUGGUAAGGUAAUGGCUUACCAAGGCGACGAUCCGUAACCGGCCUGAGAGGGCGGUCGGUCACACUGACACUGACAUACGGGUCAGACUCCUACGGGAGGCAGCAGUCGGGAAUUUUGGGCAAUGGGCGGAAGCCUGACCCAGCAACGCCGCGUGAAGGAUGAAAUCCCUCGGGA